ACUGGCUCCUAGAGAGAGAAGCACCUAAGACAGAGCAGGGCUGGGCAGGGCCAGCGGAGGCUGGGGGAGCUCUAGGCUGACGACUGCCAGACUGGGGACCUGACACAAAGGGGCAGAGAAGGUGCUGGGGCUACGGGGAAGUGGCCCAGGGAAGCCGGCAGUAGAGGAGAGUUGGAGGAGGGCACUAAGUGGCUGCUGCUAGAGGGUUCCUGGGUCAGGGCUCAGAGUAGCGUGUGGGCCUAGGCCCCUGUCAUUUCCCCCCAUUUGCCAGUGAUGAGAGUGGCUAAGCCAGACUGCAGCUUGCCCUUGGAGGAAGGGGCUAGACUGAGGACUGCAAUGAGCCACUGAGUCGAGUGAGAGAACCAGAAGCUGCCGACCCCCCAGAAGGGGGGGAAAGCCAGCGGAGUGGGCACAGCUGGAAGGCAGUGUCUAGAAGAGGAUGACGUGUUUUGAGGAGUGACGCAGGUGGAGACAGACGAGUCAGACAAGACGGUGGGCAAGACACCACCUGAGAAGGGUGCACUGGCAAACCCUGAGCUAAUUCCCAGCAUGGCCAGCAGGAGACGCCGCGAUGUUUGGCAAAGAAUCAUACAUGCAAGAAAAGACUCAGAGUUUGAGACCAUGUCUGUCCAGCAUGUUUCAAUUUGUUGGUUUCUGUGAUCUGUAUAAUCUGGAGAUUUUGCAUGCUGAUUUUCCUGGGACAACAGCUCAAGAGAAAAAAAACAGCAUAUAGAAAAUCCUCAACAAUGACCAGGCAUUUCCUUAGCUCAUGUGAAAAUGGACUGCACUGGUUUUGUUACUUUAACAUAACAUGAGAGGAAUUUUAGCUACAGUACAUGUUAAUCAUUGUAUUUAUGCUGAUAUACACAACCAAAGUUUGGGUUUUGUACUCAGUUCCCUUCCUCUGAGUUCCCAUGAGACUUCUAUACACCCUUCCUUUCAAUUUAUAAACUUUCUGAUAUGUCCAGGUCCCUCAUUCCCAUAAUGCAAUUUAUGAGGUCUCUAAUGUUGCUAAUCCCAGAGGGAAUCUCAAAUCUAAUGCUGUGUCUGUGGCCAUGUGGCACCACUCCAUUUAUAUGUCUCGUGCCCUGGGGCUUCCUCUUUGAGGAGUGUUCCAGAGUACAUUAAAGCCCUUUUCACUUGCAUAUGGCACCAGUGGUAUAGAACCGCCAACUUGGUAUGUCAGCUCACACUUGUUAUUGGCAGGAGCUGAACUACUUUUUCCAAGUAAUGGGAGAAUUCAUUCUGUUUAGAACCUCAUUUAAACUGAGCUGUGACUUUCUAAACUGACAGACACCUUUACUUCCUUUUUCUUUCCACUUGUGGCUGAGCUAGGAAUCACCUCUCUGAUGAUCUUUUGGCUCUGCUGUUCUCUUGGGGAGGGAAUCAUAGGAUAUGAAGCUUAACUGAAUUUAAAAUGAACCAUAAAUCACGCCAAACAAUUGUACAUUUCUCCCCCCACCAUAAGAGAACAGCUAUGUAUGUUUAAAGUCAGAUAUACAGCAAGAAAUUUUAUAUAAGUGAUUUGCUAGAGCAACCUUUUAAUUAAAAAUAAAUCUUACCUCUUCAGACUAUUAUAAUCUUACUCCUAUGUUAUCUAGGGGGCUUUCAAGGCCUUGGGGCAUAUAUGAAUGGAGCUAUUGGCAAGGACCACAUGAGAAUCCUGCAUGUUCAGCAUGGGACCGAAGACCCAAAUAAAUGUGAUUUACAAUAUCAGGCAUGGUAUUAUCUGUCAUGGCACGCUGAUGAAUAUGCACAAUGGUGGAGGACAACCUGUAACUUAACAGUGUGUAAUGAAUGGUCUUCCAGACAAAGA